GGCCCCGCACAAGCGGCGGAGCAUGUUGCUUAAUUCGAGGCAACGCGAAGAACCUUACCAAGGCUUGACAUAUAGAGGAAAAGUGCAGAAAUGCACUCCCCGCAAGGUCUCUAUACAGGUGGUGCAUGGUUGUCGUCAGCUCGUGUCGUGAGAUGUUGGGUUAAGUCCCGCAACGAGCGCAACCCUCGUCCUAUGUUGCCAGCACGUAAUGGUGGGAACUCAUGGGAUACUGCCGGGGUCAACUCGGAGGAAGGUGGGGAUGACGUCAAAUCAUCAUGCCCCUUAUGUCUUGGGCUUCACGCAUGCUACAAUGGCCGGUACAGAGGGCUGCAAUACCGCAAGGUGGAGCG
rnacentral:rRNA from 1 species